rnacentral:tRNA from 1 species
AAAGCUUUAAGUUAAAAAAAACUCUUAACCUUCAAAGUUAAAUAUAUAUAGGUAUUAUAAGCUUUA